rnacentral:lncRNA from 1 species
CCCCAAAUUUUGAACUUAAUCUGAUAUCGAUUGGCCCAAGAAAUUUGACAAUUCAGGUUCGUACGAAGUUCGUUCAGAAAUGGAGUGGUCGGUGUAUUGCAUAGUUCUAGAGAUUGGAUUUCAAUCAAAACAAACCAAAUGACACCUCCCACCACUUUAUGAUGUUCCCAAGGUUUUGGACACAAUCCGAUAUCGAUUGGGCCAUGAAAUUGGACAAUUCAAGUUCGUACGAUGUUCGUUCAAAAAUGGAGUGGUUGGUGUGUUGCAUAGUUCAGAGGUUGGAUUUCCCUCAAAACCAACCAAAUGACUCCUCCCACCAUAUUAUAAUGUUCCCCAACUUUUGGACUCAAUCCGAUAUCGAAU